CGAAAGCCUGACGGAGCAACGCCGCGUGAGGGAUGAAGGCCUCUGGGCUGUAAACCUCUUUUAUCAAGGAAGAAGAUCUGACGGUACUUGAUGAAUAAGCCACGGCUAAUUCCGUGCCAGCAGCCGCGGUAAUACGGAGGAGGCAAGCGUUAUCCGGAAUUAUUGGGCGUAAAGCGUCCGCAGGUGGCAAUUCAAGUCUGCUGUCAAAGCACGGGGCUUAACUCCGUAAAGGCAGUGGAAACUGAAUAGCUAGAGUGCCGUAGGGGUAGAGGGAAUUCCCGGUGUAGCGGUGAAAUGCGUAGAGAUCGGGAAGAACAUCGGUGGCGAAAGCGCUCUACUGGACGGCAACUGACACUCAGGGACGAAAGCUAGGGGAGCG
rnacentral:rRNA from 1 species